rnacentral:rRNA from 1 species
GACGAACGCUGGCGGCGUGCCUAAUACGUGCAAGUCGAGCGGAAUGAUGAAGAAGCUUGCUUCUUCUGAUUUUAGCGGCGGACCGGGUGAGUAACACGUGGGCAACCUACCUUGUAGAUUGGGAUAACUCCGGGAAACCGGGGCUAAUACCGAAUAAUCCAUUUCGCUUCAUGGCGAGAUGUUGAAAGACGGUUUCGGCUGUCACUACAAGAUGGGCCCGCGGCGCAUUAGCUAGUUGGUAGGGUAAUGGCCUACCAAGGCGACGAUGCGUAGCCGACCUGAGAGGGUGAUCGGCCACACUGGGACUGAGACACGGCCCAGACUCCUACGGGAGGCAGCAGUAGGGAAUCUUCCACAAUGGACGAAAGUCUGAUGGAGCAACGCCGCGUGAGUGAAGAAGGUUUUCGGAUCGUAAAACUCUGUUGUAAGGGAAGAACACGUACGAGAGUAACUGCUCGUACCUUGACGGUACCUUAUUAGAAAGCCACGGCUAACUACGUG